UGACAUUAGUGAUGAUGCACCGUCUCCUGCUUCUGAGAGGAAGAGAAGACGACAGCGAGGGAAUGGAGACCCUGAAAGCCCUACAGGAGAGGUGACGUGACCACGAAGAUGAUCUUUGGAACACCUGCGCCGCGGAGGAGAUUAAUAUUGCGAUUGCAGCUUUGACAGCUACGGCUAUAGCGGCCACGGGCAUCGGCCUAUUUAUUUAUUACAGAAAAAAGAAAGACUUCUACAGAAGACUGAAAGACCUGGAGACGUCUUCAUCUGACGAGUCAACGGUCUAUGACUCUGACUACAUGGAGUCUUCUACAAACUCCACACUCACUUUCCAUUCGGACGAAGAAGAAAUGGAGACAGAUUGAGGAGGAGGAGACAUC